rnacentral:rRNA from 1 species
GAUGAACGCUGGCGGCGUGCUUAACACAUGCAAGUCGAACGAUGAAGCCCAGCUUGCUGGGUGGAUUAGUGGCGAACGGGUGAGUAACACGUGAGUAACCUGCCCUUAACUCUGGGAUAAGCCUGGGAAACUGGGUCUAAUACCGGAUAGGAGCGUCCACCGCAUGGUGGGUGUUGGAAAGAUUUAUCGGUUUUGGAUGGACUCGCGGCCUAUCAGCUUGUUGGUGAGGUAAUGGCUCACCAAGGCGACGACGGGUAGCCGGCCUGAGAGGGUGACCGGCCACACUGCGACUGAGACACGGCCCAGACUCCUACGGGAGGCAGCAGUGGGGAAUAUUGCACAAUGGGCGCAAGCCUGAUGCAGCGACGCCGCGUGAGGGAUGACGGCCUUCGGGUUGUAAACCUCUUUCAGUAGGGAAGAAGCGAAAGUGACGGUACCUGCAGAAGAAGCACCGGCUAACUACGUG